AGUGAACGCUGGCGGUAGGCCUAACACAUGCAAGUCGAACGGCAGCACAGUAAGAGCUUGCUCUUACGGGUGGCGAGUGGCGGACGGGUGAGGAAUACAUCGGAAUCUACUUUUUCGUGGGGGAUAACGCAGGGAAACUUACGCUAAUACCGCAUACGACCUACGGGUGAAAGCAGGGGAUCUUCGGACCUUGCGCGAUUGAAUGAGCCGAUGUCGGAUUAGCUAGUUGGCGGGGUAAAGGCCCACCAAGGCGACGAUCCGUAGCUGGUCUGAGAGGAUGAUCAGCCACCCUGGAACUGAGACACGGUCCAGACUCCUACGGGAGGCAGCAGUGGGGAAUAUUGGACAAUGGGCGCAAGCCUGAUCCAGCCAUACCGCGUGGGUGAAGAAGGCCUUCGGGUUGUAAAGCCCUUUUGUUGGGAAAGAAAAGCAGCAGGUUAAUACCCCGCUGUUCUGACGGUACCCAAAGAAUAAGCACCGGCUAACUUCGUG
rnacentral:rRNA from 1 species